rnacentral:rRNA from 1 species
GAUGAACGCUGGCGGCGUGUCUAAUACAUGCAAGUCGAGCGAACGGACGAGAAGCUUGCUUCUCUGAUGUUAGCGGCGGACGGGUGAGUAACACGUGUAUAACCUACCUAUAAGACUGGGAUAACUUCGGGAAACCGUAGCUAAUACCGGAUAAUAUUUUGAACCGCAUGGUUCAAAAGUGAAAGUCGGUCUUGCUGUCACUUAUAGCUGGAUCCGCGCUGCAUUAGCUAGUUGGUAAGGUAACGGCUUACCAAGGCUACGAUGCAUAGCCGACCUGAGAGGGUGAUCGGCCACACUGGAACUGAGACACGGUCCAGACUCCUACGAGAGGCAGCAGUAGGGAAUCUUCCGCAAUGGGCGAAAGCCUGACGGAGCAACGCCGCGUGAGUGAUGAAGGUCUUCGGAUCGUAAAACUCUGUUAUUAGGGAAGAACAUAUGUGUAAGUAACUGUGCACAUCUUGACGGUACCUAAUCAGAAAGCCACGGCUAACUACGUG